GUGAGGAAUAUUGGUCAAUGGGCGCAAGCCUGAACCAGCCAUGCCGCGUGAAGGAAUGAGGCCCUAUGGGUCGUAAACUUCUUUUGUGGUGGAGCAAUAAGGUGCACGUGUGCAUCGAUGAGAGUACAUCACGAAUAAGCAUCGGCUAACUCCGUGCCAGCAGCCGCGGUAAUACGGAGGAUGCAAGCGUUAUCCGGAUUUAUUGGGUUUAAAGGGUGCGUAGGCUGUUCGACAAGUCAGGGGUGAAAGCCCAGUGCCUAACACUGGAACUGCCUUUGAUACUGCCGAGCUGGAAUACGGAUGCCGUGGGAGGAAUGAGUAGUGUAGCGGUGAAAUGCAUAGAUAUUACUCAGAACACCGAUUGCGAAGGCAUCUCACGAAUCCGUCAUUGACGCUGAGGCACGAAAGCGUGGGGAUCAAACAGG
rnacentral:rRNA from 1 species